GCUUACGGCCAUACCAGCCUGAAUUACGCCCGAUCUCGUCCGAUCUCGAAGAAGCUAAGCAGGUCGGGCCUGGUAGUACUUGGAUGGGAGACCGCCUGGGAAUACCAGGUGCUGUAAGCU
rnacentral:rRNA from 1 species